GUGGGAAUGAACCCUGAGGGGGCUAGAGGGAAAGAUCACUGAAGGCGGGGAGGUCAAGGAAUCACGGGGCCAGUACAGAGAUGAUGACUGUGUCACCAAGAGCAGCCUGAGGAGUGAGGUGAAGAGGAAGCAGCGAGUGGGGCUGGAACCUCUGUGAACAUGCAGGGACCACAACAAGGGGCAGUAAUGGGUGCUGAGGAUCACACAACUUCACAAAAACCGGAAUUUUCAAAAUUUGAAGGAGAAAUUAGUGGGAAUUAGCCAUGGGGCCAAGGCUACUAAGCCUCCCUCAAACUCAGAGAUUGUAAGCCCCCUGCACCUGGAAUACAGGGAGCGCAGGCUGUCAACCUCUGUGGCAAAGAGCAGACACGUCCUCUGCUGCUGCCCCGAGUGGAUCUCAGACGCAUCCUCCCUGGGAUUCCCUCAGCUGCUGUCUCGCUCCUACCUUUCAUCUCGACAUCCAAUUCAUCUUGGCACUGACAGUUGAGAUCAGAGCGAGAUGAAGAAGAAGCAGGUUUGUCGUAGAGUUUCUUCAAAGGAGCAAGCGUGAUCUAUUUACUUACUUGCUAGUGUGAUGCGUGAUGCUCGUUACAGAAGGAACUUAAAGCAGCAUAUAAGAACUCACAAAAGGCAAGACUGUCAUCAUAAAGCUAAAGGAGGAGUAAAGGAAGGAGAAGCCAAGCUGCGGAAUAUAGAAGGAGGCAGGGAGAUGGCUGAAGGAAGCAGAACAGAAAGCCCUGCGCCCUCGCUGUGCAUGUGGCAGGGACCCUGGGCCGCAGUACAUGGUCCACAGUACCUGAAACCUCACGACAGACCCCUGUCCUGAAAAGUGCAGCCACCACCAGUGCCGAGGCCAGCUGGACUGGAGCUCCAUCAGGAAGAACCUUCAUCCUGAGGUGUACACUGCACUCAGCCACAUCCUCUCUGACACACACAGACUUCACACCGUCACUCAGGACAGGCUGAUGACAUCGACCUGUAGAGCAUGGGUUCCAAGCUGGAUGGAGCUUUGCUGCUGUAACUCAGUCUAGGAAUAUACUUCAGAAUAUCUAAUAUGUCCUUUAGAGACCUUCAUCACAUACCCUUCCUAGGAGAGAGGAUUUAGACCAUGGCCGACAGCGUUGCUCUCAUGACCCUCCCUCCUGGAGCUCAGCCCUGUAACACCAUCAAGGCAAACAGAGACCCCACUUGGAAAACCCACACCCCUAACCAGAGCUGUACACUGUCAAGGCAAUCCUUUAACAUCCAUUUAUAGGUGAACUGGGGGGUUAUUCCCAGGAAACCUACAGGAUGAACUACAAUGCACAGGUGAAUGGGUGAAUGCAUUCUACAAAGCACAACUGAUGAUCUUCUCCAGGAAAAUAGCCAAACUUAAUUCCAUCAAACAUCUGUUCUGUGGAUAGCUGUCUUCCCCCACUGCAUGACAGGAGUGUUAACUGUUUCU
ensembl:lncRNA